rnacentral:rRNA from 1 species
AACGAACGCUGGCGGCAUGCCUAACACAUGCAAGUCGAACGAUCCCUUCGGGGAUAGUGGCGCACGGGUGCGUAACGCGUGGGAACCUGCCCUUAGGUUCGGAAUAACUCAGAGAAAUUUGAGCUAAUACCGGAUAAUGUCUUCGGACCAAAGAUUUAUCGCCUUUGGAUGGGCCCGCGUUGGAUUAGCUAGUUGGUGGGGUAAAGGCCUACCAAGGCGACGAUCCAUAGCUGGUCUGAGAGGAUGAUCAGCCACACUGGGACUGAGACACGGCCCAGACUCCUACGGGAGGCAGCAGUGGGGAAUAUUGGACAAUGGGCGAAAGCGUGAUACAGCAAUGCCGCGUGAGUGAUGAAGGCCUUAGGGUUGUAAAGCUCUUUUACCCGGGAUGAUAAUGACAGUACCGGGAGAAUAAGCCCCGGCUAACUCCGUG